rnacentral:lncRNA from 1 species
CUGAGAUUUGAGACUGUUGGAGGAAGCAAAACUGUGUGUCUUUCAUUAACGGAGGCAGAGAGGUUAAUGGAGACUUCUGCAUUACUCAGAGCCAGGUUUCUUAUGAGCCCUUAGAUGAAGCUCUAUUAUUCUCAUCUACUCUGCAGAGGAGAAAUGAAAAUAUACCCCCCAAACUUGGGUAAACAGAUGGGUGUUUAGGAGGCACUGUCCAGUCCCAGGGUUCAGCCAUGAACAAGACAGGAAUGUCGUCGGUCUCCUCUUGUUACUCACAUUCUAAAGGCGGAAAUGGUGCAAUGAAGCACAUAAAAGACGCUAUUUUUGGAAUGCUAUGGACCAAACAUAACUGUGGCUAAAAAUAAUACUUUUGCCGAAUCUAUCUGCAAUAGAAGGAGAGAUUUAGGGCACAGAGUAUAUGAACGACCAAAUAACAUUAGGAUGAUGCUGUUUCAGACCUAGAACGCCAACAAACGGUUGCCAUUGGGAGGCCCCUGGAGCGCUGUGCUUCUCCUCGAGAUUAUCGCAGCGUGAGGUCUAUUCAGAAUUUGUGGUCACUUCAGUUUUUUUCUCCCGUCACAGAUGUGUGGAUAUAUAUGCCUACAUUCUGGUGUUUAUCAUCACCUCGACACUGUCUAUUAACAGGCUGUGGAGAAAAAUAUCCAUCUGGAUGAGACGGACAGGAUCGCGGGACAGGAGGACUCUCAAUUUCACGCUGGAGCGCUGGGCUUUGCAGUUGGCCUCAGCGGGCGAUCGUUUCCUUGCUUAGUUAAAACAUAAAUCAGACUUCUGAACUAAUUUUAUUAUUUGCUCAUGGGAUUUUUAUUCGCAUUGAAAUAUAUUUUAAGAACAACAUGAAGUAAUUUCAAAUAUCUAUACACAACUUUUAUCAGCAUCUUUAUUCAGCUCAUUGAUUAGAUUUUUCUUGGUUACAAUUUUAUCAGAUCAAACAUUUGACACAUUUAAAUGCACUCAACUUCUUUUUGAGGAAGAUUAGCCCUGAGCCAACUACUGCCAGUCCUCCUCUUUUUGCUGAGGAAGACUGGCCCUGAGCUAACAUCCAUGCCCAUCUUCCUCUACUUUAUAUGUGGGAUGCCUGCCACAGCAUGGCGUGCCAAGCGGUGCCACAUCUGCAUCCGGG